CGGAGCCGCCCGCCGUGCCGCAGCCCCGGCGGAGGCAGCGCCGGGAAAGGGAGCAGCGUUGGGAUUGCUGCCGGCAUGGGGAAGCUCCAGACUGAAUCCGCAUGUCCAGUCCUCCACGGCUGACAGUUGGCUUGGAUGAAGCUCGGAGCGGUGGCACCGGAUGAUCCCACGUGGAGGAAUCGGAGGCGUCGGAAGCGCCAGCAGCAGCGCCCGGGUCGUAUCCAACAGGAAAACCGGAUCUGAAUGCACUGGGGCUGCUCCUUGCGGACGUCAUUCCGGAACUAGGGAGCAGAGUUGCGCCCUGUGCCCCACCCCCCUUGUGCGAAAGAUUCGUGAAUAAAUGAU